rnacentral:rRNA from 1 species
GUAGGUGGCAAGCGUUGUCCGGAAUUAUUGGGCGUAAAGCGCGCGCAGGCGGUUCUUUAAGUCUGAUGUGAAAGCCCACGGCUCAACCGUGGAGGGUCAUUGGAAACUGGGGAACUUGAGUACAGAAGAGGAAAGCGGAAUUCCACGUGUAGCGGUGAAAUGCGUAGAGAUGUGGAGGAACACCAGUGGCGAAGGCGGCUUUCUGGUCUGUAACUGACGCUGAGGCGCGAAAGCGUGGGGAGCAAACAGGGAUUAGAUACCCUGGUAGUCCACGCCGUAAACGAUGAGUGCUAAGUGUUAGGGGGUUUCCCGCCCCUUAGUGCUGCAGCUAGCGCAUUAAGCACUCCGCCUGGGGAUACGGCCGCAAGGCUG